CCUAUAUACUGGUAUGUAAUAGCUAUGUUCUUUAAACUUAAAAAAUUUGGCGGUAUUUUAGUCUAUUCAGAGGAACCUGUUCUGUAAUCGAUAUUCCACGUUGGACCUUACUUAAAUUUGUUUUGCAGUUUAUAUACCGUUGUUAUUAAAAUAUUUUUAAAAAAAGAUAAUAUUUAAUUUUUUAAAUAAAAAUUUAUAUCAAAUCAAGGUGUAGUUUAUGUUUAAGUAGAAAUGGGUUACAAUAAAUUUAUUUUUGGUAAUAAAUAUGAAAAAUUUAUUUAAAUUGGAUUUGAUAGUAAAAUUAUAUAGAUUAAUAAUUUGAUUUUAGCUCUAAAAUAUGU
rnacentral:rRNA from 1 species